rnacentral:rRNA from 1 species
UAAUUUAAAGGAAUUCGGCAAAUUUGAAGUGUUCACCUGUUUAUCAAAAACAUGUCUUUUUGUUUAUAAUUUAAAGUCUGCUCUGCCCAAUGAGUUAUUUUAAAUGGCUGCAGUAUCUUGACUGUACAAAGGUAGCAUAAUAAUUAGUCUUUUUAUUGAAGGCUUGCAUGAACGAGUUGAUGAAAUAUUUACUGUCUCUGAAUUAAAUUAUUAAUUUAAAUUCUGAGUAAAAAUGCUUAGAUUUUUAUAUGGGACGAGAAGACCCUAUAGAAUUUUAUAUUUUUUGUUAAUUCUAUUACUAAAAAAUAUUUUGUUGGGAGGAUGUUUAAAUUUAAUUAACUUUAAAAAAUUUGUCCAAUUAUUUUUGAUUAAAAAGAUAGUUUAUUAUAAAUUGUUAGAUUAAAUUACCUUAGGGAUAACAGCGUAAUAUCUUUGGAGAGAUCAUAUUUAUAAAGAUGAUUGCGACCUCGAUGUUGAAUUAAGAUAUAAUUUGAAUGCAGGAGUUUAAAUUUUAAGUCUGUUCGACUUUUAAUAUCUUACAUGAUUUGAGUUCAGAUCGGCGUGAGCCAGAUCGGUUUCUAUCUAUAUUAUUUAUAUAAAUUUUUGUACGAAAGGACUUAAUUUA